CUACCAACACAUUUUACAUGCUGUGAUCUGUCUGCACACUCUGUCGUGUUUACACCACAGACUGUAUAGAAGACGUGGAUGUUAAAACCAAAAUGUUACAAUUCACUGUCAUGAACUGAAAACAAACUGUGAAAGGGUGAAAGGAGAACUCCCAGACCGGACAACACCAUGGCAACGACCUGUCAAUCACAAGGUAGCAACACCCUAAAGCAUUCCCUGGUGUAUCAUCUAUUUUACUUUAAAUGGGACCAUCAUUUACUAAAUGAACACCACCAGAGGAUAGCUGUAUAUGAAGAAGACUAGAAA